GUGAAUGUGGGUCAUGUGACUCUCUCCUGGUACAAAGGAAACAGUUUAUUGUCCAGCAUCAGUGUGUCUGAUCUCAGCAUCAGUCUCUCUCUACCUCUGGAGGUGGAAUAUCAGGAUAAAAACAGCUACAGCUGUGUGCUCAACAAUCCCAUCAGCAACCAGACUCAACAUCUGGACAUCACUCAGCUCUGUCACACAUCUGCAGACUCUGUCCACUGCUGUGGUUCUACUGAAGCUGUGAUCCGAUUGGUCCUCUCUGCUCUGGUGGGCGUGGCUACUGUCAUUCUUCUGGUUUAUGACAUCAGAUCCAGAAGAGAUAAUCAAAAUCAAGCACAGAUUCACACAUCAGGUGCAUAAUUGAUUAAUAGACAUUUAAAAGAUGUUUAGAGAUGUUAAUGAUCUAGAAUGUGUGUAAAACUGACAUCUUAAAGAAAUCAGAUUAGAGUCAGCUGAUGCAAGCUUGACUCAUGUGACCUGCCUUUUUUUUUUCAGUUUUCAAAGCUUUAUAUUCAUGUGCUGAUCUUGAUGUAAUCUUUCAUAUUUUAUUCAGGGGUUUAAGAGCUCUUAAAAAUGUACCUGUCUUGUCCAUUUGUCCUCUGUAUUUGCUCUAUCAAUAAAGUUUUCUCACUCUGUGCUUCAA